GACGAACGCUGGCGGCGUGCCUAAUACAUGCAAGUAGAACGCAGUUGCGAACGGGGGAGUAACGUGUAGGACACCGCCUUACAGCGGGGGAUAAAUAUUGGAAACGAUAGCUAAUACCGCAUACUGUGAGAGGGAUCCGCGUUGUAUUAGCUUGGUGGUGGGGUAAAGGCGCACCAAGGCGACGAUACAUAGCCGACCUGAGAGGGUUGUCGGCCCCACUGGGACUGAGACACUGCCCAGACUCCUACGGGAGGCAGCAGUAGGGAAUCUUCGGCAAUGGACGUAAGUCUGACCGAGCAACGCCGCGUGAGUGAAGAAGGUUUUCGGAUCGUAAAGCUCUGUUGUUAGAGAAGCGGUAACUGACCAGAAAGGGACGGCUAACUACGUGCCAGCAGCCGCGGUAAUUC
rnacentral:rRNA from 1 species